GAUGAACGCUGGCGGCGUGCCUAAUACAUGCAAGUCGAGCGAACGGACGAGAAGCUUGCUUCUCUGAUGUUAGCGGCGGACGGGUGAGUAACACGUGGAUAACCUACCUAUAAGACUGGGAUAACUUCGGGAAACCGGAGCUAAUACCGGAUGAUAUUUUGAACCGCAUGGUUCAAAAGUGAAAGACGGUCUUGCUGUCACUUAUAGAUGGAUCCGCGCUGCAUUAGCUAGUUGGUAAGGUAACGGCUUACCAAGGCAACGAUGCAUAGCCGACCUGAGAGGAUGAUCGGCCACACUGGAACUGAGACACGGUCCAGACUCCUACGGGAGGCAGCAGUGGGGAAUCUUCCACAAUGGGCGAAAGCCUGACGGAGCAACGCCGCGUGAGUGAUGAAGGUCUUCGGAUCGUAAAACUCUGUUAUUAGGGAAGAACAUAUGUGUAAGUAACUGUGCACAUCUUGACGGUACCUAAUCAGAAAGCCCCGGCUAACUACGUG
rnacentral:rRNA from 1 species